rnacentral:rRNA from 1 species
CACACUGGGACUGAGACACGGCCCAGACUCCUACGGGAGGCAGCAGUGGGGAAUCUUGCGCAAUGGGCGAAAGCCUGACGCAGCAACGCCGCGUGGAGGACGAAGGCCUUUUCGGUUGUAAACUCCUUUCAGCAGGAACGAUUGUGACGGUACCUGCAGAAGAAGCCCCGGCCAACUACGUGCCAGCCGCCGCAGUAAAAC